GUGCUUGCUCUAGCAGCACAUAUACUAAAAAUGUAACAAUAUAAUACAGAGAUUAGCAUGGCCCCUGAGCAAGGAUGACAUGCAAACUCAGGAAAAGAUGGAAAGUUAA
ensembl:snRNA U6 U6 spliceosomal RNA